GUGUGUAUGUAUUACCUAAUUAUAUGGUUUAGAGAAAGAAUUAGAGUUUUUUUCGCGCAAAAAAGAAUUGACAUUGAACAGAAAUGGGCUGAGAGGGAGAGGGAUGACAGAACACGUGCAUACACACGUGGGUGUGUUUCCUGCAUCUCUGUCAAAAGACCAGCAGUGUGACACUUCAGUCUGUUUUUGAAUGACGCACAUCACAACAGGCAAUGCUCUAAUCAUGACGAGUCUUUGUCCUCUACCCUCACACUGUCCUCAACAUGAGGUGAAAAACACAAACUGCAUUCUUUGGUCCAUUAAGGUUGGACAUCAAUUUGGAUUCACAAUUUCAAUCAAAGGUUAGCUACAGAAUGUAGACCUACAAAGACUCAACAGGCUGGUCUGGAUCUGGAGUCGGUUUGUGCCGUAAAUGAGUCUUUAAUCGUUAUAAAAAAUUAAUUCUGGACUUUGUCCAUUCAUCUCUAGUUCAGUCGUUGCAUUUAAAAAAAAACAGUAAAUAAACUUAGAACCUGAUUCCUGCAGCAUCCACGACAAAAACAACAAAAAUAUCCACCAUCAACCUCCUCCGUUGUGUCCUUCACUUUGCUCCAUGCCCUCUAAUCAGUGACAUCAGUGUGGGAUGUGGCUGUCAGCCGCACAGUACAGUGUAUGGGCUGUCACAGUGUCACAGUUACAGCUGCUGUAAGGCGUCAACACGACGUGUUGCACAAGGUUCUUGUGUGUUCACACACCUCCGUCCUUGAACUAGAGAUAAAGAAACAUCAGUCCUGCCACCUGAGGCACCAUACUCUCUAUUUUGAUCACGAGUGACUCAUUUGAUAAAUAAAUACAAUAUAAUUACUUCAAUUUAUUUUUAUUCCACUGUGUGUAAAGGUUUGAGUAGAGGAGUAACAGGAAGUACAGGGUUUGACAUGACACCUCGAAACGAACUCCAACAGUGACACACAGGAGGAGAGAAUGGGGGGUUGAUCUAGAAGGAUAGCUAUUGUAUGCUGAGGACUCUGAUGACAGGGUGACCCACUGCCAUCUGAGUCGUCAUUAAUAAGGCGUGACCCUCUCAGAUGACCUUUGAAAAGACACAGCCUCCAAAUCACAGUCAUUUGGCAACAAAACCCUCUUCACGCUGUCCUCCAGGGCCUUUUAUCACAUCUAGCAAAACCUGCUGCCAUGGUUGAAAUCACGCUGUGUGUCAGAGAAUCUUCUGAUUGGCUUCCUGAGGAGAAGCUGACUUGGCCCUGACUAAUAAUUGGCCCCAGUGAUGCUCUCAACCACUGCUCAGUAAAGCUGAUGGUGUGAAGUAGACUCUAACUGAACUGUCCACUGAGCUGUCUGGGUUGGACUGUUAUAAAACAGUCAAAAGACAGAUGUCCUCUACUGAACUGCUUUGGACAAAAUGACAAAUAAGACCAUGUUCUAAUUACCUAAUGACCUCACCUGACCUGUGACCUUUGUCCCCGUUGUGUACGACUGGACUACGAUGACUCACCUCGUCACUUUGACGAUGGUCUUUUGUGAACAAGCGUAUGCACAUAGUACUCUGUCUUGGUCUUCUACUGUCCUCCCAGAUGCUGGGUAUCAAUUAAAUGUGUCCCCUGCAGCAUGUGAUCCAGUUUCACUACUGCACUUAGUCAUCAUUGUACACACAAUUGUACAAACCAACUAAUGACCCUGACAUGACCUUAUUUCUUUUAACUUCUCUGCUGUGAUGACAGUCAAACUGAUUUGAAUAUAAGACAUGAUAAUGUACAAAACACCAAACCCUCAAACUCCCACAGCUUUCAGGAACUGUUUCGACACGUGAAUAGAAAGUGGACGAAAUGAGUACUGAGAUGUCACUUUGUUUGUCAUGUUGGUUUUGUUCCUAUGACACAGUGAGGGGUUUUCAGAAAACAUCGUGAGUCUUGUCACAGAGGCGUGAUUAAGAUAUGCGGCGAUGAAAAUCCAUACUCUCAGUCUGACUCAGCCGCUGUCAUUUCCUGUUGACCACACUGAGGGAACCACCAGGGCUCACGUGGAUUAGACAGAUCAGGGGCAUGAUAAUCUGACAACGUGACUCUGUAGACCGGAGCGCCGUCAUCGCCCUGCGUUAUCACAUUUCAGGCGAUCCCAAAUUGACUUCCAGGCGACCAUAUGUGGUGUCCUGACCCCAAGAUUGAGAAACACGGCUGUCAUGUGAAACAACAUGCUGGUGUCAUUCAGAUCACAUGGUGACUGUGGAUGCUCUGAACAACAAGUACAGACUGACAUACAGUUCGCAGAGGAUGAUAUGACAUGAGUGGACCAACUUCCUGUCUUACGCAUUAACACCGGAACAUACGUGUGACGACACACACAUGCACAGGUGUCGCCUUACCGUCACUGUAAGUCCAGUGAAGAUGUAUGUAUCACUGGACACAUUACUCAAAGAAUAAAUAAAUACAGAGGUGUUCAUCAAA